CAAUCAGAUCAGCCAAGCCAAUCUAUCCGUCCUCAAAUCCAGCAGAAGUAACAGAUCAAGAACUCCGUGAUAAACCUAUGCUCUGAUACCACAUGAUAUGACUGUGCCCAAUCUUUCACGGCGUUCGUAAUUGUAGCACCAAGGAUAAGUCAAUUCAGUGAGAACCCAAAUUGCCAAACCUAGUUCUGAGGCGUUGAGUUGAUCAAGAUCCACUCCACGCCCGACAGCGAUCAAGAUCCUCUCGGAUCAGCAAUCAAUCAUAGAUUUUGGUGCUCCCCUGACAUGGGAACCUUUUCUAUUAAUCUCAUGGUUUUUCCCCCCUUCAACCCAAGAUCAACGACCCCUUAUAUAGGUGUCCCAAAAACCUGUUCGGUGGGACAAGACCCCAAUCUGAAAAACACUUAAACUCUCCUAACAAAAAUAAUAAUUAAAAACAAUUCUAUCUGGACCUAACUCAAACUUAAAAACAAAAACACAAGCCUAAAACGCAAGACCCAUACUUUUAAAUGUUCUUGGCCGUGCUCCCUUGGCCAAAUCGAAAUAUACGUGGAGGUGUCCUGAAAUUGGGAUUCACUUCAUCCUUCUUGGGAUCAACAUAAGGCACCUCAAAAUAAUAAAAGAACCAAGCUUAAGCACAUGAGCGUGUCCUCAUCAAUGAGCUUGACCUCGGCGA
rnacentral:lncRNA from 1 species